GACAGAGGGGGCAAGCGUUGUUCGGAAUUACUGGGCGUAAAGGGCUCGUCGGCGGCCAACUAAGUCAGACGUGAAAUCCCCAGGCUCAACCUGGGAACUGCGUCUGAUACUGGAUGGCUUGAAUCCGGGAGAGGGAUGCAGAAUUCCAGGUGUAGCGGUGAAAUGCGUAGAUAUCUGGAGGAAUACCGGUGGCGAAGGCGGCAUCCUGGACCGGCAUUGACGCUGAGGAGCGAAAGCCAGGGGAGCAAACGGG
rnacentral:rRNA from 1 species